UACGAAGGGGGCUAGCGUUGCUCGGAAUCACUGGGCGUAAAGAGCUCGUAGGCGGUUUGUCGCGUCUGCUGUGAAAACUGGAGGCUCAACCUCCAGCCUGCAGUGGGUACGGGCAGACUAGAGUGCGGUAGGGGAGAUUGGAAUUCCUGGUGUAGCGGUGGAAUGCGCAGAUAUCAGGAGGAACACCGAUGGCGAAGGCAGAUCUCUGGGCCGUAACUGACGCUGAGGAGCGAAAGCAUGGGGAGCGAACAGG
rnacentral:rRNA from 1 species